AGAAAAUCAAAAGGUCCCAAGAAAAGUAAAACCCAGCUCUCCACAAGGAAAUGCUGUUGGAGGCUGGCAGCAAUUUCCCACCUGUGGCUAGAGCCCCCCACGGGCACAGCCCAGCCCCUGCAGCAGUGACCCCGCGGAAGAACGGGCGGAUUGUCUUUCAAACGGAGCCGAUGUGGAGCUGAAUGUCCCUUGCCACCUUGGCUAUAAAUCAUCCUGCAUGUGAUAAGGAUUUAACUCCACCAAGCCACCCUCCUUCCCCCCAGCCUUACCUUGUCCCUGUCCUUGGAUGCUUCCGUGGCAGAGCGCAGCAAUUUCAGCAGCAGCAGAUCAGAAAGCUCCUCCUGGAAGCUGGGUCCCAUGGUUUCCCUGGCAGAGAACCACCCUGUGAGCACCCCCUGGGCUGCUCCAUCCCCACAGAUGUGAUAGCACCCUUUAUAAAGCCCAUGAACAACCUUCACUCUUUAGAGGGCUAAUAUGUAAGGCAGACCUUUCUGCAUGUGACCACUACGUUUAUUAAUUUAAAACCAAACUAUCAAUGCAAGAAAGCUGGUUAGCAAUGGUUAAAUCUGUAAUAAAAAACAGAGGGCAAGGAAUUGCUCAGGGGCAAUUCUGCAGCAGGAAUAUAUAAGAACUAUUUUCCUGUUAAAAAUGUAACAGUAGGUUAGGCUUCCCUCAGUCUCUGGCUUGAGGAAGGGUUAAAUAUUUAUUAAUUUUACUUGUGCUAUGUUGAAAGUAAACCAUGUCUACACCAAGCAACACAAAAGAAAUGGAAAACUGAAAAGUGAAAAGUUUUAAAGAGUGUCUCCUUAGAGUGA